GAUGAACGCUGGCGGCGUGCCUAAUACAUGCAAGUCGAGCGAACAGACGAGGAGCUUGCUCCUUUGACGUUAGCGGCGGACGGGUGAGUAACACGUAGGUAACCUACCUAUAAGACUGGGAUAACUUCGGGAAACCGGAGCUAAUACCGGAUAAUAUUUCGAACCGCAUGGUUCGAUAGUGAAAGAUGGCUUUGCUAUCACUUAUAGAUGGACCUGCGCCGUAUUAGCUAGUUGGUAAGGUAACGGCUUACCAAGGCAACGAUACGUAGCCGACCUGAGAGGGUGAUCGGCCACACUGGAACUGAGACACGGUCCAGACUCCUACGGGAGGCAGCAGUAGGGAAUCUGCCGCAAUGGGCGAAAGCCUGACGGAGCAACGCCGCGUGAGUGAUGAAGGUCUUCGGAUCGUAAAACUCUGUUAUUAGGGAAGAACAAACGUGUAAGUAACUGUGCACGUCCUGACGGUACCUAAUCAGAAAGCCACGGCUAACUACGU
rnacentral:rRNA from 1 species